UAGAGAUUUAUAAUCACAGAAUGCCAUUCAUACAGUAAUCAAAUACUAUGACCAAAAAGGGAAGAUGAUACAAUACAACAUAAAAACUAGGUUCAUUGCCCAAAAGAAAACAAAAUGUUCAGAACUAAAGAUCAGAUGCUACAAUGUUUCUAUUUAUAGAAUUUUACUCACGAGCCACAACCACCACUUGUUUUCCCACAUUGCGACCACUAAAGAGGCCAACCAAGGCUGUUGGGCCAUUCUCAAGACCCUCAACAAUGUCUUCCACAUACACAACCUUCCCUUCUCUAAUAUGAGGCAAAACAAACUCCAAGAAUUUGGAAUAUGAAUGGUAGAAAUCAUUUACAAUAAACCCUUCCAUUUUAAUCCUCUUAAAUAUGAGAUGUGCCAAAUUUGUUACACCUUCUGGUUCAGCAAGAUUGUACUGUGAGAUCAUUCCACAAACAGGUAUUCGACUAUGGAGUCUCAUAUUUGGGAGUACUGCAUCAAGUGUCUUUCCCCCAACAUUCUCAAAGUAAAUAUCAAUGCCUUCUGGAAAGUAUCUGAUGUGUACAUUGAUAUCAGCUACACUAACUUCUAACAUUUUCUUUAUGGAAACAAAUUUAUAAACUCAAUUUUCUCUGUAAGGAUAAUGUUGCAUACUAACCUUUUCAAAGCUGCAUCGAGGUCUGGCUCCUCCUUGUAGUUAAAAGCUUCAUCAAAUCCUAACUUAUUCUUCAGCAGAUCCACCUGGUUGCAAGCCACAUUCAUUUUAGUGCAUGAAUUUCUAACCUUGUUCAUCAUACUGCUUUACAAAUUACAACAAUGUUUCCGAUUGAAAAGGUUUCACCAUCAAUGCUUUCUGAAACAAUUCUCUUCAUGAUUUUCUUUUACUGAUGAAAACAAAACACCUUUUUCAAGUAUAAAAUAUAUUUUCAGAGUUAAAAUUAUAAAUAAUAGUAGUAAUAACUUGCAUUGACUGAAACAAACUUUAUGUACUUUAAUCUCUCCAACAAUCUAGAAAAACCACAGAAGUAUGCAACAUGCCUAAAGGAUUUAUAAUUGGAAGAAAAGAAUUUUGUUGUUGUUGUACUCAGGCUAAUUGAAAAUAAUUGUAUGUUAAACAAUACCAUGAGUAUCCUAAAUGUUUUGAAACUAAUAAUAAUUUAUAUAGAAACAUCUAAUAAUAAUAAUAAUAAUAAUUGAACAAAUACCUUCUCUUUGCUUCCAGCACUUCCAACCACAUAGCAACCAGUCAAUUUAGCAAACUGACCAACAAGUUGACCAACAGCACCAGAGGCAGCUGAAACAAAAACAUUUUCUCCUUUUUUUGGAGAACCUAUUUCAAAGAAACCAGCAUAAGCAGUCAUUCCAGGCAUACCUGUGACCAGAAAAUAAAAGGUUAUGGGUCAAAAUGCCUGACAAAAUUAUAGAAAAUCGUGCAAGAACAUCCAUAAGCUUGCAUACAAGCUUGCUGAGAUUCAUUCAGAGAAGAAAAUAAGAUGGGUCAAAAGACUCAACUAAGUUUUAUUAAGACCUUGCAGUAUCAUAAGCUUGCAUGCAAACUUGAUAAGAUUCAUUCAGGUGAAACAGAAUGUGCAUGCAGAAUCAGACAUGAACAAGUAUCUGACAUGGCUACAUGUCAAGACCAUUAUUUAGAAGUGUACCACUUCUUAGGUAAAAAUAUGAAAGGAAAGAUAUUUAUCACCACACAGAGAUGUGGCUGUAAUGUAACAAAUAUACAGAAGUAAUGAAUAAAGGAUUAAUUUCAACAUAUAACCUUGAUUGAACAUUGAAAAUGCAAGCAAAAGCAUUGUAGGAAACAGUAGCUGGAUAACCUCCAAUUUUUAAUGUUCAUCAUUCACUAAGAUGAAAAUAAAUUGAAAUUGUUGAGGAUAUACGUACCAAGAAUUCCAGUGUAGUAAGAAAGUGGAACAUCAGUGUGCUCAAUUUUGAAACAUAUUUGAGAUGGGGAGAUAAAGCUAUACUCUUCCCAUUUGGUAAUUCCCCAAACCAAAUCACCUUUCUUAUAAUCUGGAUGUCCAGAUUCCAACACUUUAGACACUCCAUAUCCUGUCAAUGGCUGCAAUAUUGUUCAUUACAUAAGUUACCAGCCACAUUUAUUUUAACUUAAGACCACCUCUGUUAUUGAUGUUUAAGGUUUUCUCUUUUCUAUACUUCAAAAAUAUCCAUUUAGUUUCUAGAUACAUGAUUUCAAUAUUUGUUUAGUUCUUAUAAAUAUCUUUUUUAGUAUUUAUAAAUAUAAUUUUUAUCCUCUAAGAUAUAAAUUUAUAAAAAUGGAAAGAGAUUAGAAAUAGUAUUCAUAUACAAGUAUCUUUUAAAUAUAUAAAUAAAAAAAAAUUACUUAUAUAUAUAAACCAAAAAGUAUGAGUAGAGUGUAUUUGGAGUAGCUUCUCCAUAAACAUUUUGAAAGGAAAAAAAAUUCUAAACAAAAUAAGUAAAAAAAGAAGUUAAUUACUUAGUUAAUUUUUUUUUUACACGAAUUAGAAAUAAAAAUUAAGAAAAAACAUUGGGAAAUAAUUUUACAAAAAUGAUUUCAUUACAUGUCUAAAAGGAUAUAUAAACAGUAAUUGUUCAUGUCUAAGAUUAUCUUCUCAUUGUAUAUUGGAUUACCUCUAAAAGUUAUGGAUAACUUUAUUUUUACCUUUCGGUGGUGGUUAAAAAAUUAAUUUGAAACAAAAUUAUCUAAAAAAUCACUUUUUCAAAUAUAUGUUAAUCUUAAAGUAUACAUUCAAAUAUAUAUUAAUACAAAUAUCUAUUUAAAAAUAAAUCAUAAAUUUAGAUAAAAAUGAAUCCCUAAAAAUAACUUUAAUUUCAUAAACCUAAACCAAAUUCAUAAAUCAAUAAAAUCAAAUCAUUGCUCAAUUUUUUAAUUAUCAACGUUUCUCUAAUUUUUGCUAACUUAUUUUUUAAAAAAUAAAUAUAAAUUGUUAAAAUUAGUAUACUAAAAUCUAAUUAAAUUAUAUACACAUACAUAUUUAGAUAUUUAAUAUUAACGUGUAAUAAAUAAAACCAUCAAACCAAAAUAUUUGAAUCCAGUCAUACCAAAGAAAAGGUUCAGACCAGGUUACAAAUACAAAUUCUUUUACAAUGAAUAAAAAAUUUAGAACUUACAAUUUUAAAAAGAAAACAAAAACUACCUGACAACAAAAUGUUAAUUUUUUUUUCUAAUUCUUCAACUAAUUAUGUUCUGUAUGAAAGCUUGAAAUUAUCUCACAAACACUAAAAGAUGAAAAACUUCCUAAGAAGAUUGAAAUGUGAAGAAACAUUGAAAUUUAGAUCUAAUUCCAUCUCAAAAACAUUAGCUCAAUCAUGAUUAUAAUUAUUGUACGAAGGUUGAAAGUAAAAGAUUAAGCAACAUUGAAAGAUGAAAAACUUGUUCAAGAAGAUUGAAAUGCAGGUAACAUUUUGAAUGCAUGUACGAAUUAUAUAAACUUUGAAUUCUUAAUCAUAACAUUUUCAGAAGUAGAACAGAGCGUUAAAAUGUAGAAAAGAAGCGCAGUGGUGAAAAAAAGUUUGAUGACUCACAGCAUCAGGUGUGUAGUGAUGAUACUCAUCAAUGAAAUCCAUCUUGAUCAUCAGGACUCUCAUGAUAGGGUCGCAAGAGAGGUAGAGAUUCUUCACAAGCACCUUAUCAAAACCUUCUGGAACCUUCAAUUUCACCCUUCCUUCCACAAUUUUCAUGUCUGAUUCCUUCGGAAAACCAACCACAUAGUUUCUUAGAACCACUCGCUUGUUCCUCACUUCCGCCAUUGGAAUUCGCCGGUACAGUGAUAAGCUUUGUGAGUGCGUCGGUUAUGGAGUCUCUUCGCUCUUCCCGCUGCUUCCAGUAUUAGAAGCACUUAUAUAGGGAAAUGAUUAGGGAGAAGAUGGGAAAAUCAAAUGCUACUUUUUUAUUUUUAUUUUUUAUUAAAAACAUCUUUUUCUCCUGCCACAGUUUUUAUUUUUUAUUUAAUUAAUAGUAUUAUGAAAGGGGUUUAAAAAUAAAACAAUGGAAAUAAUUAUAAGAUUUAAAACAAGAGUUACAUCCAUUUGUAUUUAUUUGACAUUAAAGAUAAAAUAAUUAUAAAAAAAUAAAUUUUAAUAUUUUUAAAAAGAAAAAUAAAAAUAAAAAAUAGUAAUAUAAAAAAGUUAUAUGUCUCUGUCUUUGGUUUCAAAACGUAAAAAGUAUCCUAUAUUAAAUUUAUUUUUUUAAUACAAUUUUAUUAUUUAUUAAAAAGAGUUACUGUGAUUUUUUUAUUAUAUCAACAAUAACCCUUUUUAUAUAUAAAGAUUUCUCCUUUUAGUAUUUGUAUUUGUUUUCUAAUUUCACUCCUUAAAUAAAUCUUUUCAAUUAAAAUAAUUAUUUUAUUAAUUUUAUUCUUUCAAUAAUAAUAUUUUAAAAUUUAACUAAUAUUUUUUGGACCUAAUUAUUUUGUAAUAAUAAAACUACUAACAAAAUAAGUAAAUAUUUACAACAAAAUAACAAAAAUUAGUUUAAUUUUACAAUACAAUAAUAAUAAUAAUAAUUUUACUAUUUUUUAUUAUAAAAAAAUAAAGAUACAUCACAUGCAUUUUUACUAAUAAUAUUAAAAGAUAAUAAUAUUACACAAUGAACACUUUUUCUUUUAAAAACAAAAACAUAUCAUUCUAUUAAAUCAUAAUUCUCUACCAUAACAAUAAUCUAAUGAGAAAAACACUAUACUUUUGUAAAAUAUUAAAAUCACGUUGAAUAAAGAAAUUAAAAAAGACCUAAAAAUAUUGAAAAUAAAAGAGAUAUUAAUCGAAAAUUUAAAUUUAAUUUAAUUAAAAUGAAUAAAAAAUAUUAGAAAAGUAAGAACUGAUCAUGAUGCACGUUGGUAGUAGUCUUCAAUUAUUUCCCACUGAAGAUUCAAACAAAAACUUUGGUAGCCAUACAAAUGUCACAAACUUUGUGGUGCUAAAAACUUUCCAAAAAACUGUGAUUCUCAUUUUCCAUUCUUCUUGAUGAGUUGAUUAAUUUGGAAAAACAAAUAGCUUUCUAGGUAAGAAACUUUUUCUUCUACCUAACACGUGUAACUUAUGUUAGACGAGUUAAACCUUUUGAAAUUGUGGUAUAAUCCCUCAAAAUAAGGAUAAUUUAAAUAAGUCUAUUAAAUUUUAAAGAAAAAAAAGUUAGAUUAAAAAUGAAAAAUGUUUGUACAUCUAUGCUUGUCAAUUAUUACUAUAAACUGUUUUUUUAGCAAAUAGUUACGUUUUAAUAUAUAUAUAUAUAUAUAUAUAUAUAUAUAUAUAUAUAUAUAUAUAUAUAUAUAUAUAUAUAUAUAUAUAUAGCAUCUGUGAAACUAUCCCAACUAGUUUGAUUUUUUUUUUUUCUUAUAAAAAUUUAUUACAUUUUCGUAUUUUUAUUGCUUGAAAUAAAAAUUAGUUUCUAUUUGACAUGUAAAUUUGAUAAAUGUAUAUGUUCUUUAUUUCUUAUGUAAGCAUUUAUUUGAAGAAGAAGAAAUUCAACCCCCUUUAGUUAUAAGUUUGUUCAGUUUUAUCGUUUUUCAUAUAACAUAAUUCUUAUAAUAAAAUAAAAUACUAAAAAUGUCUGUUAAUAAUUAAAUCGACUGAUUAAGUUGUAUAAAAACAAACCUAAAGAAGGGUAUUUGCAAGUUGAUUCUUAAUAUAAAUUGAUUUUGUAUUUAUUUUUAAUAAAAAAAUAUUUGUUCAAAUGGAGGAAGAUAUGUGCACAAUAAUAAUGUAACUUUAUUUGUGAGGGAGAUUCUCGAAAAGUCUACCAUCACACAACGGGAUCAAGCUAUUAUAACAAAUAUGAAUUUGUCCUUAUAAGGCUGAGAAGACUCUUUAAACUUCUAGCAAAGAUUUUCUAUAUUUUUAGUUAUUUCAAAACUUUAAAGUAACUUCCAAUGGGGAAGGAGUGGGUUUUCAACUUCAUGCUCUAAAGGCGAGAUGUUCUAAGUCUUUGUCUUUUUAAGAUCGAGAAAGAAUGUGUUUGUAAAAAAUAUUUUAAUGUCUAAGUUAGUCGAUUACAUCAUAUAUCAGUCAAUUAUAUGGACCUAAUUGGACCCAAUGACCCAUUUAUCUCAUGAGCCAACUGUUUGAUCCAGAUUCUCCUAAGUUAGAGAGUAAUACGUCAUUAGUUUUGUUAUUUCGAAAGGUAGUCGGACGACCAACUUAUGUUUGGGUAGUGGUGAUCAUAUAGGUCAACUUGUGGUCGAGUAAGUGUGAGUUAGUUCACCAUUAGCUCUGGCAGGCAACACAUAGUUUUGGUAGGCGGCACAUAGUCCUAGUAGACAACACAUAGCUCUCGGUAGAUGACGCAUAGUCUUGUAAGCAACAUCUAACUCUCAAUACGUGCCCCUAGCCCUAAGUAGAUGACACCUGACUCUUAGUAGGCGAUACAUGACUCUUGCUAAGCGACACACAACUCUUAAUAGACAACACUUGGUUCUGGUAGUCGACACUUAUUUUUGAUAGUCGACACUUGGUAGGAGACACCUAGCUUUGGUAAGUGAUACUGACUCUAGUAGUUGGUGCCUUGUAGGUGACACCUAGCUUUGGUAAGCAGUACCUGACUCUAGUAGUCAGCACCUAGGGUAUGUGGCUUAAUUUGUCCUAGGACAAAAUUAGUGUUGAUAAGGUCGAACGAUAAUUAGCCAUGUACAUUACACCAAGCCCCACUCUUCUCGUGACUUGAAGGCACAUGAAGAACUUUAGUAAAAUAGUUGUAGUUGGUCUUCAGUUUAUGAAACAUGACAUCCGUAGUAGGUACUCACUAGUCAUUUUGUAGAGUUUUACAAAUGCAAUAACCUUAAAGGUUUAGUAGCCCUCCACCUUCGAGGAGCAUAAUGACAAAGAGGUCUGAAUAAUGGGAUGUAAGGUUGACUAGAUGUGAGUGGUGAACAGUUGUUAGACAACACAUAAAGCAAAGCGAAGAAGCAGAAAGUGCCUUCGUUUAAUAGUCGUUUCUUCCUCUUGCCUUCUAUAACUUUUAUUUUUAGACAGACAUAUGUUGAGAUUGUUGACAACACAAUUUCUAUAUCAAUCUAGUUUUUGAUGAUGACAACACAUUACUUAAUAACAAGUACAUGUUGCUGCUGCAUUACAUGUUCUUAUGCUGAUUAAAUUGUUAUAUCUGUUGAACAUGUAUAUGUGUGUACUAUGAUACGUGUUCCUAUGUUGAUUGAUUGAUAUAUUUUUGGAACAUGUGUAUAUGCUUUAAUGUGUUGUGUGUUAUGCAUCAUUUCAUAUGUUUUACUGCACAUGUUUUAAAGCAAGAAAUCACAAGCACUUUUAUGAACUUAUUCUUGUGCUACAAAGUUCUAGUACAGUCGACUACAUUACUAAUGGAUUUGAUUAUGCUAAAAUCUUUGUGCAGAUUUUGCAAAUCAGUGUUGUGUGUAUUUUUGAGAAGAAAAUAAUUUCAAAAUGUUUUACAUGGUUGAUGUCGACUAUGUGGUAUACAUAUUCGACUAUAUCUGUUGUUUGAUUUGAAAUUCUGUUAUGCUCAUGCACUCCAACAACUAUAUUUUUAAAAGUUAGUUGAACAUUGAUGACUUGGCCAACUGUAUUAAAUGUGUUAUGUUAUUUGUUGACCAUAGGCUACUAAGUUGACUGAACUGUUAUAAUUGUAAUAAUACAGUCGACUGAAUUAGUAGCACAUUCGACUGAGAAUCUGACUGAUUAACAGAAAUCUAUAAAUUUACUGAACACGGGUUUGUUCUAAGACUUUUGAUGAUCUGAUAAUUUCAUUUUUGUUUCAGAUUUCUCUUAGCUCCAAGAAUUCUCCAAGAAGACGGUGGUGAUCUUUCUUGAACGAGAUUCAUUAAGGAGACGUUGUCAACAUCUGCACAAGAAGGUGCUUCUGUGAUUGAUCGCGAAGGCUUGGCAUCCUGUGAAGACUGCUGAAUUGUGAUCAAGGCUUGGCAUCCUGUGAAGAUUGUUGGAAUUGGACCUGUAGUGAUAUAGGGGGAUAGUUCACUUUGAGGAUUGUUCAAAGUGGUGUUUCAGAUUGCAGAAGAGGGGAUUCUUGCUGCAAGUCUGGUUUGGUUUUCUGUAGCUAUAUUUUGGUUUUGGGUUAGAGAGAAGAUUUAUAUUUUUGACGUGGAGGUCUUCUAUAAAUUCUUUGUUAUAGUGCAUUUGCUUCCUGGGUUGGAAGGACAUUGGAUGUAGGCAUUGUUGGCCGAACCAGUAUAAACAUCUGUGUUUGAAUUUCUCUAUCCCUUAUCUUUUACAUUCCAUUUGACUCUAUUUCUAACGCAAUCUAUUACGUUUUUUCCGCUGCAUACAUUUUCUAAUUGCUUGCAUUUCAAGAAACUUUAAAAAGCUUUAUACUUUGUUUGCAAGAUUGCGAAAAGAAAGUGUUUUUGAAACAACACCAAUUCACCCCCCCCCCCCNCCCUCCCCUCUUGGUGAUAUAAAGAAGUCAACCUGUUUUCCAACAACAUAUACAUAGUCAAGCAUAACCCCAUUUUUGUACAAUUCCUUCAAUGACUGUUGGAAAAAAAAAUUCUAAGUUACUUUUCUUCAUCUGGGGCUUAAUAAGGUAGGGAGAAUAUGAAUAUGAGAGUUGUUCAACCGAGAUCGGCAGGGUAGGCGACAUGAGAGGGUUGUUAAUUGAGUUUUUAAAUUGAGGUCGAUCGUUCUUUUGCAAUGUGGUCCUUCUUUUGAUUGCAAAACCCACACAAAAGAUUACCAUUGUUGCCUCUUUUGUUAGUUAUUCGCUCCAUAAACAUACAUAGUCAAUCUUACAAAGGAGGGAAAUCCAAAAUGGUCCAAUGAUUCCUUCUCUACUUUCUUCUUUAGUUAAGGAGCUUCCUUCACAAGUAAAGGAGUUUCAUCCGCUAGGCAUAUGAUUCCUCCAAGGCUCGUGGAUUUUUUGACCCUAUUCCCUACCUAUAAAUAGGUGUUUCUACUCUCCUCCAAAACACACCUUCACUCACUAUCGUUUUUUCUUCUCAUUCCUUUUGUCUUGAGUUCUUUGCUCUUAUGAGCUUGCUUGCUAGUCCUUGUUGCCACUUGAGAAGUUUCUCUUAUAUUUGGGGGGCUUACACUAACACACUCCAAAUAAUUCAUUAAAGGCAAUGAUCAUCCACACCUUACACCUUAGGAAAUUGAUCUAGUUCGUAUUCUCGUCGACAUUUUACAACAAUCUUAGGGACUUUUGACUGACAGUAUGAACAUCGAUAACAAAUCUACACCAGAGAAACCAAACGAUGUUUCUACAACAUAGUGUACUUUUGCGAUACAUUUCCUAGAUGUUUUGAAAAUUGAAGUUUUCACUAGUAAAAAACUUUAACAUUGGUAGGAACACAUGCCUACCUUGUUAGACAUGUAUGGAGUUGCUUUCACUCUUGCCCCUUCCUAAUAUGACUCUAAUACUUCUACAAAACAAAUUGAAGAUUUAUGAAUAAGGUAUGUCGUCACACCUUGCUUAGUGCAUUAUUUAACCAUGUGUUGGUUGUGUAUUGCUUUUAUAGAGAAAUAAAAGAUAUUUAAGAUUCUCUUAUUUUCAAAUAAACUACUAAAUAUGUCAUUAGAAGAAGAUUCGUUAUAAAAAACUAUUGUUGGGAGAUGAUCAAGGAUAAAAACAUUAAGGUUAAGAUGAAUAAAUACCAUAAACUAUUUAAAGAUAUUAAAGUAGAAAGCAUAACCCUACCCUCAAGAAGGAGGAAACUUGCUUUGUCUGUGGGAGGCCAAACUAACAUGCAUCUCAAUAUAGACAUAGGGUCAAGAUUAACAAUCCUCCUUAGGAAAAUAUAAUUGAGGGGAAUAUAUAAUUGCUUUAGUUGUUUUACAAAUGAACCUUGUGACCAAUAUGAGCAAAUGAGUGAUAGAUUCUACGACUACCAAACACGUAUGUGAAAGUGCGUUUUUCUCCUAACUAAUGUGGGGAUGGAGAAAAACAAGUUUAUCUUGGUAAUUUCAAGAAACUUUUGUUCUAAGAAAAUGAAAAUUUGUUUUAAAACUCACAUUUGAAAAGAUUAUGGUUUUAAACAAUGUGCUACAUGUGACAUCUAUUAGAGUUAAUUUAGUGUCUCUAGCAUGAUUGAUAAAAGUUAAGAUUAACGUGUCAUUUAAAUCUACAAACUUGUUACGACAAAGAAUGAUGUGUUUACAAAAUAGGAUACUACUUAAGAAGGUCAAUAAAACUCCCAAUGAGUUGUGGAAAGGUUUUGAGUCUAAAAUAGAUUCUAAAACUUCCAAUAUCAUGUUUUUAGGCUGUGAUAAAUUUCGUAUUUUGGUCAACAAUUAUGUAAGUGUGAAUUUGAUUCAAGUAGGGGGUUACUCCCUGUACCUCCCCAAUUUCAUCCCCUACCCCCCCAUUCCAUUUUUACCCUUUGCUCUAUUUAUUCUAUUCCAAUUUUAUCCUUUAGCAAAAAUUUAUAUUUAGAAAUAAAAUUUUAUGAUUUUAUUCUCCCACCCCCACAUAACCUAUUUAUUCUUUUUUUUUAUCUUCAUGCUUUCAUCUUUACGCUUUCUUCUUAAGAAUUCUUUGUUCUAUUUUUCUAGAAAUUCUUUCUCCCAUUUUUCUUGUAUUUCAAGUGAUAAUUGAGAUAUCGAUUUCUCCUGGAAGAAUUUGUCUUUGAAUUAUUAUAUCUCUGCAUUGCAUUAGUGGUGGUGUAUCCAACCUUUAACCAGCGAUCCUCUUCGAGUCGAGGUUAGUAAUACUUUCGUAAAACCGCUAAACAGAUGGCAACUUCCGUUUACCCUUAAACGGAUGUUGACAUUCGUUUACCCUUAAACGGAUGUUGACAUCCGUUUACGGAUUCCCACAUCCGUUUAAGCGUUUUCUAGAUUAUNNNNNNNNNNNNNNNNNNNNNNNNNNNNNNNNNNNNNNNNNNNNNNNNNNNNNNNNNNNNNNNNNNNNNNNNNNNNNNNNNNNNNNNNNNNNNNNNNNNNNNNNNNNNNNNNNNNNNNNNNNNNNNNNNNNNNNNNNNNNNNNNNNNNNNNNNNNNNNNNNNNNNNNNNNNNNNNNNNNNNNNNNNNNNNNNNNNNNNNNNNNNNNNNNNNNNNNNNNNNNNNNNNNNNNNNNNNNNNNNNNNNNNNNNNNNNNNNNNNNNNNNNNNNNNNNNNNNNNNNNNNNNNNNNNNNNNNNNNNNNNNNNNNNNNNNNNNNNNNNNNNNNNNNNNNNNNNNNNNNNNNNNNNNNNNNNNNNNNNNNNNNNNNNNNNNNNNNNNNNNNNNNNNNNNNNNNNNNNNNNNNNNNNNNNNNNNNNNNNNNNNNNNNNNNNNNNNNNNNNNNNNNNNNNNNNNNNNNNNNNNNNNNNNNNNNNNNNNNNNNNNNNNNNNNNNNNNNNNNNNNNNNNNNNNNNNNNNNNNNNNNNNNNNNNNNNNNNNNNNNNNNNNNNNNNNNNNNNNNNNNNNNNNNNNNNNNNNNNNNNNNNNNNNNNNNNNNNNNNNNNNNNNNNNNNNNNNNNNNNNNNNNNNNNNNNNNNNNNNNNNNNNNNNNNNNNNNNNNNNNNNNNNNNNNNNNNNNNNNNNNNNNNNNNNNNNNNNNNNNNNNNNNNNNNNNNNNNNNNNNNNNNNNNNNNNNNNNNNNNNNNNCAACCAAAUAUCAACAAUAGAGAAAGCUACCCAAUCCUACACAUUACAUACAUUAAAAAAAAAUAGAAGAAACGAAAAGAACGAAACCAACGUCUACACCUCUCCGCACCGCGCCGGACUGCCACACACUCACCGCACCGCCACCCGCCGCACACCAACAGGCCGCACAAAGCAACAACAAGUUCAGAGGAGGACUGGGAGAGUGAGAGUUGCAGAGAGCAUUUGAAAAUGAAAGCUUUGGUGGAUGUGGGAAUACGCGAAGGAGGGAAUCUUGAGUCUGUGUCUGUUCAGAGUGUAAAAGAGGCAGGGUAGGUUAACUUUAAUAAAUAGGGGUAUAAAGGUAAAAAAAAAAAAACAAAAAGGUUAUUUUUGUAUUUAAAAAAAAUCCAAAAGAAUUGGGGGGAUGGAGGAUGGAAUUGGGGAGAUACAGGGAGUACCCCCAUUCAAAUAUUAUAAUGUCCCACUAAGUUAAACUUUUUUUUCACGAAUCCAAAAACUGAAAACCAAAAGACAAAUGUGUAUUUACAAGAUGUAAUUUUGAUUAACCAAAUACUUUUUGAACAUUAUGAGAAUAGAUAUGAAACACUAGGAGGUUCAAAAUACCUUAAAACAUACAACAGAUUAGAAGUAACAAAGUUUCAUAAACUAGAGGUUUUAUUAAUCACAAAAUACAACAUAACACUAGGUUCAAUGACCAACAGAAAUUGAAAAUUCAGAAGGAAAGAUUAAAUGGUUCAGUGUUUCUAUCUAUAUAAUUUUACUCAUGAGCAACAACAACCACUUGUUUACCAACAUUGCGACCACUAAAGAGGCCAACCAAAGCAGCAGGACCAUUCUCAAUACCCUCAACAAUGUCUUCCACAUACACAAUCUUCCCUUCUCUGAUAAGAGGAAGGACAAACUCCAAAAAUUUGGGAUAUAAAAGGAAGAAAUCAGUUGUAAUAAAACCUUCCAUUUUAAGCCUCUGAAAUAUGAGAUGUGCCAAAUUUGUUAUACCUUCUGGUUGAGUGAGAUUGUACUGUGAUAUCAUUCCACAAACAGGUAUUCGACCAUGGAGUCUCAUAUUUGGGAGUACUGCAUCAAGUGUCUUCCCCCCAACAUUCUCAAAGUAAAUAUCAAUGCCUUCUGGAAAGUAUCUGAUGUGUACAUUGACAUGCAGCAAUCAUCAACAUUUAUUGCAUGAACAGAUUUACUCAAAAUUUCUCUAUCACAAAUCUGUUAAAUCCUAACCUUUUCAAAGUUGCAUUGAGAUCUGGCUCUUCUUUGUAGUUAAAAGCUUCAUCAAAGCCUAAUUUAUUCUUCAGCAGAUCCACCUGGGUUACAAGACAUUCAUUUUAAUGCAUGAAUUUCUAGCCUUAUUCAUAAUACUGCUUUACAACAAUGUUUCCUGUCAAAAAAGUUUCCCUAUCAAUGCUUUCUAAAACAAUUCUCUUCAUAAAUUUCUUUUACUGAUGAAAACAAAACACCUUUUUGAAGUGUAAAAUAUAUUUUCAGAGUGAAAAAUUCUAAUACUCAGCCUAAAUAAUAAUAUCUUGCAUUGACUGAAAUAAACUUCAUGUACUUCAAUUUCUGCAACAAUCUAAAAAAACCAGAAAAGUCUGCAACAUGCCUCAAGGAUUGCAAUGCCAGAGGAUUUGUAAUUGAAUGAAAAGGUUUUGGUGGUUGUUAUUGUAAUUAGGCUAAUUGAACAAUACAAUGCAUAUCCUAAGUGUUUUGAAGCUAAUAAUCAUUUGUAUAGGACAUCUAACAGAAACAUUUGUACAAAUACCUUCUCUGUGCUUCCAGCACUUCCAACAACAUAACAAGCACUCAACUUGGCAAAUUGGCCAACAAGGUGACCAACAGCACCAGAGGCAGCUGAAACAAAAACAUUGUCACCUUUUUUGGGAGAACUUACAUCAAAGAAACCACCAUAAGCAGUCAAUCCUGGCAUACCUGUUAUCAGAAAAUAAAAUGUUAUGGGUCAAAAGGCACAGCAAAGUUAUAUAAAACCAUGCAAGAACAUCAAUAAGCUUGCAUGCAAGAUUGCUGAGUUUCAUUCAAUUUUAUGAAUGAAGAUCAUACUGUCAUCACCUGCAUCAUUUACUAAGAAUGAAAGUAAAUUGAAACUGUUGAGAAGAUACAUACCAAGAAUUCCAAUGUAGUAGGAAAGUGGGACAUCAGUGUGCUCAAUUUUGAAACAUAUCUGAGAUGAGGAGACAAAGCUAUACUCUUCCCAUUUGGUAAAUCCCCAAACUAAAUCACCUCUCUUAUAAUCUGAAUGUGCAGAUUCUACCACUUUAGACACACCAUAUCCUGCCAAUGGCUGCAAUAGUUUUCAUAACAAAUGUUAUCAACCAAAUAUAUUUUAACUUCAUACUACCUCUGCUAUGGAUGUUUAAGCUUUUCUUUCCUUCUGUACUUUAAAAUUAUUCCUUUGGUUUCUACUUACAUCAUUUCAAUAUUUUUGUAGUUAUUAUAAGUAUAUUUUUACUUCUUUUAUUUUAUAAAUGCAAAUUUUUUUAAUAUUUAUAAAAAUAAAUUUUAAAAUAAAAAAGAUAAAUAGUCAAAUGUAUUUAGUUUUUAAUAUAAUAAAAAACUAAAAUAAUUAUAAUAGAAAAUUGUAAAAGAAAUAACAAAGUAUUAUUGUUUCUGGGUUCCUAUGAAUCCAUCUUCAAUCCGGUUGGAACACCUUCAAUUCGUAAAUUAAAUAAAAAAAAUUAAAUUUUUCUUAUCCUACGGAUAAUAAUCCAUUUUAACAUUUGUAAUAUUUAUUAAAGAUAAUACUAGGGAGAAUUAGUCUCUUUCAAAAGAAAAUUUAAUUUAAUAUAAAUUACAAAUUAAAGUUCUAUUUUAGUAGAUUAAAAAUAUUGGUGUAAUAAAUUAAAAAUGAUAAAAAUAUUCUUUUAAUGAAUAAAAAAUGGAUUUAAUUAAUCUCCAACCCAAUUCAUAUGCAUAUGAAAAAAAAAUUACUCAAUUAAAAAAAAUAUAUUAAACUUUAAUUUUAAUUCAUUGUGUAUCAUAUUAAAAAAAAGUAUAAGGUUAAAAUAUGAAAAGGUUAAAAUUUAAUAUAUCAAAUAAUAAAUUAAUAUGACAUUUUUAUGAUGCAUUACUAGGGUGCAUUUGUUAAAUAAUAAAAUUACUGUUAUUGUUAUUAUUAUAAUUAUAACAUUAAAUAAAAAUAAUUUAUCUAAUUUUUUAUUAUAUAUUUUUAUUUAUUUAUAGGUAGUUUUUCAUUACAAAAAUAGUUAAGUUUAAAAAAUAGUCAAAUAAAAAAUAUUAAAGUUUAAAUAAACGAUCACUUAAAUAAGUAAAUUGAUAAAAUAAUUAUUUUAGUGUAAACAUUUUAUUUAAAAAAUUAAAUUAAAAAAUAAAUGCAAACACCAAGGAUCUUCUUUAUAUAUAGAAAAUAAUUAUUUUAAUUUAAAAAUAUUUCAAAAAUAAAAAAUAAAAAACAAAUAUGAAUAAUGAAAAAAAUGACUUUUAUUCCCAUGUGUAUCAUUCAUUCUCCAUCUUCCAUAGUUAUUCUCAUGUGUGAUUAUUUUUUUAUUGAUAAUAAAAAAUAAUAAAACUAAUAUUUUUAUUAUUAUUAUUAUUAUAUUUAUAAAAUUAAAUAUAAUAUAAAAAAUAAUUUCUAAUCAUGUUUUAACUUUUACAUACUAUAUUAUGUUAAAUACAUAAAAGAGUUUUUAUAUUUUAAAAUUUAGGAAAAAAAAAAUAUUUUUGACCGAUCAAUCAUACAAUCAUAAGGUCAUACCUUCGUUUAUAUUACCUGGAAAGGAAAGCGUGUGAGAAACCGAAAAAGGUAGAAAUUAACCAUUUAUGGAACUGUGAGAAAAUGCAGAAACAAAAGUGCAGGAAUGAAAAGUUUGAAAACUCACAGAAGCUGGUGUGUAGUGACGAUGCACAUCUAUGCUUUCCACCUUGUUCAUCAGGAUUCUCAUGUAAGGGUCACAAGAGAGGUAGAGAUUUUUGAGAAGCACAUCAUUGGAACCUUCUGGAACCUUCAAUAUAAUUCUUCCUUCGACAGUGUUCAUGUCUGAUUCUUUCGGAAAACCAACCACAUAGUCUCUCAGAACCACUUUCUUGUUCCUCACUUCUGCCAUUCAAAUUCUUAGAAACUAUGACAAGCUUUGUCGGUGUCUUGGUUAUGGAAUGUUGGCUUUUACUUCCAGCGAUUAUGGAAGAAAUGAUAAAGGAGAGAAUGGGAAUUGGAAUGCUAUUUUUUUUUUCUGAUAUGAGCAAGUUGAUUUCAUCAUAUAAAUAUAUAUAUCUUAAUUAAUUAGUUGUGUGGAGAAAUUUGGUUGAGAGUGGGAGGGUCUUGUCAUCAAUCUAUUUUGGAAAAAUUCAUCUAAUUAAUUUUAUUUCAAAUAUUUUUUUAACAUAAAUUCAAAUAAAUUAAUAAAAUAUAUUUUGUUAUAAAAAAAUUAUUAAAAAAAAUUAUCGAAAUAUUAAAAUCCAUUCAUAUAUUUAUUUAUAUAUAUUUAUUUACACAUUAUUUACACAUAUAAUAUAUAAAUGAAAUUAUUUUCUUAAAUUUUUAGUAUAUUCUAUACAUAUAUUUAUUUAUUUAAUUUUUUUGUAGAUUUAUUUUAAUAUUUUAAAAUAUGAUUUUAAAGAUUCAUUAUUUGUUGUACAGUGAGUAAUAUUUAGUUUGUUUCUAAAUUGAAAUUGGUAUGAAAUCAAAUAAAUAUGAAUAUGUUUUGUUUUGUUUUAUUUUUGUUUUAAAUUACUGUAAUAUUUUAUUAUAAAAUUUAUGUAAUUAUAUUUUUUUCAAGAAUAUUAAAUUAAAAAAUAUUGUUUAGUGUUAAAUAAUUAAGAAUGUUAUUUUUUAAAAUCAUUUGAUAAAUAUUUGAAUUGAAGGUAUACUCCACCAUCAAAAUUCAAAUUGUUAUUUAAUUUUUGUGCUUAAAUUUGAUUAUCUUAAAAAGCAUGAGAAAAAAAAAAGUUGUAAUUACUUUUCUUAACUUUUUAGUGUGACUUUUUUUUUUCAUGAAGGUUUAUUUUAUGGAGAGAACAUGAAACAUAAUAUUCUAACUACUAUCUUAUGCUGUUGUUUAAUCGAAGUUUGAACCAGAGCAGUGAAAUUAGUUUCAUUAUAUGAAAAUAAUAUUAAUGAAAAAUUAAGUGGUCAACAUUAAAUAAGAAAAUAAUUUUUUUUUCUGAAUAUGUUGUAUCAUUAAUGAGUUAAUGCUUUUUAUUUAUUUUAUUUAAAUAUGAUGUUGAACCAUUCGGUUUAAAUAAGUUAGGUUUGUAAUAAGAAACUUUUUGUUAUAGAAUAACUCUUAUUAAAUGAAUUAAACCUUUAAAAUUACCCUGUUAAUCCUUGAAAGGUGUUACUCCUUCCACCUCCCAAAGUGGGUCCUGUACCUCCACACUAUUUUAAUUUAUUUCAAAAAUAUUCUACACAUCUCUAUCAUUUUUUUUAUUCCAAAAAUACCCUACAUCUUCCCACUAUACUUAACAAUUUCCUCUUUCUCUCUCUGCAUUAAUGGAGUAUUUACAUGACUUAAAUUUGAACUUGUGAUAUAUUUUCUUAAAUAAGUUUGAUUCAAUCUUAUUUUCGCUGUUGAAUAUAUUUUUUUCCUUUUCAAAUUACUUAAUAAAUGGUAAAAUUUUGUUCUAAAUUUCUAGAAAAAUGUUUAUAUAUAUGUGUGUUUUUUUUACAUAUAAUAUCUAUAAUUUUUAACAUUAUAUUAUGUUUUAACUCACCGACAUGUUUGACUCAAAUAACUUGAAUAAAAUAUUUAAUUUAUUAGAUAAAUAAUAUAAAAAUAUUAUUAAAUACUUAAAAUAUAAAAAAAAAAAGUUAUUUAUUAAAGAUUUAGAAUUUAUUUAGUUUUUUCGUCAUUAUAAAGUUAGUAUAUAAUAAUAAUAAUAAUAUAUCUAUUUACUAUUAAUAUUAUUAUGCUUAUUAUUUUGUAUUUGAAUCUAACUUUUAAUUUUAUAAAAUAGAAAUGGUAGAAGUACUAAUAUUGAAGUUUUCUCUAAAUUUAUUUUAUAUUUUGUAGUAUAUCACAAAUUCAAAUCUGAACCAUGUAAAAGCUCCACUAAUGCAGAGAGAAAGAGAAAAAUUGUUAAGGAUAGUGGGGAUGUAUAGGGUAUUUUUGGAAUAAAAAAAAUAGUGGGAAGGUGUAAAAUAUUUUUGAAAUAAAUGAAAAUAGUGGGGAGGUGCAAGACCCACUGAGGUGGAGGGAGCAACACCCUCCUUAAAAAUAAGGAAAAUUUAAAUAAGUGUAGGAACAAGUUUAAAACAAGUUUAAAAUUUUAAAAAAUUUGGGAUUAGAAUAAAAAAAGUUAGUGACUUACAAUUAAUCAAGGAGUAUAAUAAUAAAAAUAGGUUAAUUUUAGAAACUUAUACAACAAAAAGAUACUAUUUUAAAGACUAAAAUCACUAUUUACUCUUAUUAAUGAUAAUUAUAUUUGAAUAAAUUAAAAAUUAAGGUUAAAUAUGUUUUUAGUUCCUAUACUUUGGGGCGAUUUUGAUUUUAGUCUCUCUUUCAAACUAAUAUACAAUUUAGUCCUUCAACUUUAUAAAAUUCUGGUUUUAAUCCUUUUUAACAAUUUUUUUUAACUUUAUUUGCUGUUUCAAACACGUUUCAUUGUAGCAUUUGGAUUGUUUACACUAUUUGACACAUUUUUGCUUCAAUGUUAACUGAGAAACGCGUUUGAAACAGCAAAUAAAGUUAAAAAAUUUUGGUAAAAAUGACUAAAAUCAGAAUUUUCUAAAGUUGAAAGGACUAAAUUGUAUGUUAGUUUGAAAGAGGAACUAAAACCAAAAUCACCCCAAAUUAUAGAGACUAAAAACAUAUUUAAUCCUAAAAAUUAUUAUGAGUUAUAAAUAUAUCCAUCAAAACACAUUAAAUAUUAAUUGAAGCUAGAUAGCAAUUUAGAACGUCUUUGGUUGACAACUACUACUACGAACAAUUUUUUAACAAAUAAUUACUUUUUUUUACAAGAAAAUUAUAUAUUCACUCUAUAUCUAUGAAUUAUCCAAGAUUUUAUCGUUUCAAACAUUAUUUUUUUUUCUUAAAAUUUUUUCAUUACAUUAUGUUAUUUUUAUUGUUUGAAAUAAAACUAUUUGCAAUUUUAUAUGUAAAAUCGGUAUAUAUUUCUCCUCUUUAUUUAUUGCGUGAGCAUUUAUUAGAAGAAGAAAUCAAUCCCUUCAAAGUUUUACCGUUUUUCAUAUAAAAACGAUUCUCAAAAUAAAAUAAUAAGAAAUAUGUUUUAAUAAUCAAAUCAAUUAAUUAAGUUGUAUAAAAAAAAACCAAACAAAAGGUUAUUUACAAAUCUUGAAAACUUGGUAAUAUAAAUUAAUUUUGUAUUUCCUCUUAAUAAAAAUGUGUUCACUUGGUGAAAAAUGCGAGAUAAAUGAUUAUGUAAUUUUUUUAUCUUUUGGAAAGUUUACCAUCUAUAUAUAGUAAACCAAGGUAGCAAGCUGUUUUUAGAAAAAACCUUAUCAUAUUAAUUAUAGUGUCCGUACUCUACAAGAUGAACUACAGUAUAUCUACUUAAUGCUUAUAAUUACUUGUACGUAAGGUGAAUAGGCCAAAACUAAUAAUAAAAUAAAAUAUAUAUUAGUCUAUAUAACCAUAUAAAAAAUAUAUGAUAAUUUUUAUUAGAGUGGUAAAAAUGGAUAAUCCGGCUCGAUCCGGUUUGAUCCACUAUGGAUUGGUCAUUUAGUGAGUCAAUCCAAUCCGAUUCAUUUAUUAGCGAGUCAGAAAAAUUCAAACCCGAUCCUAUCCACCACAAUAUUUAAUUACAAUUUUUUUAAAUAAAAAAAUUACAAAUUUUCUAUAAUUCAAAUUUAAACAAAUUUGACUCCCAAAUUUUACUCCCAACAUGGGUGUUUAAUUAAUUUUGAAAAUAAGAAAAUUAUAUAAUUUUUGCAAGCAAAAAAUAAUAAUAAAUAUCUUUUUAUAAAAUUAAAAUUAAAUUUUAAUAAAAUAAAAUUAGGUAAGUAGGUUGGUAGGCCAACCCGGCUGACCACAUAUUGAACCUGCAUGAACCGGGUUUAAAUGAGCCGGAUUGAAAUCUGACCCGCAAAAUACAAUUUGGGUGUUGCUCCCUACACCUCCCCAAGUGGGACUUGUACCUCUCCAUUAAUUUAAUUUAUUUCAAAAAUAUUCUACACCUCCCCACUAUUUUCUUUUAUUCCAAAAAUACCCUACACCUCCCCACUAUCUUUGACAAUCUUUCUUUUUCUCUCUCUACAUUAAUGGAGCAUUUACAUGGCUCAUUAAUGGAGCAUUUACAUGACUUAAAUUUGAACUUGUGAUAUAUUUUCUUAAAUAAGUUUGAUUCAAUCUUAUUUUCGCUGUUGAAUAUAUUUUUUUCCUUUUCANNNNNNNNNNNNNNNNNNNNNNNNNNNNNNNNNNNNNNNNNNNNNNNNNNNNNNNNNNNNNNNNNNNNNNNNNNNNNNNNNNNNNNNNNNNNNNNNNNNNNNNNNNNNNNNNNNNNNNNNNNNNNNNNNNNNNNNNNNNNNNNNNNNNNNNNNNNAGAUUUAAAAUUUAUUUAGUUCUUUCGUCAUUAUAAAGUUAAUAUAUAAUAAUAAUAAUAAUAAUAAUAAUAAUAUAUCAUUAUUUACUAUUAAUAUUAUUAUGUUUAUUAUUUUGUAUUUGCAUCUAACUUUUAAUUUUAUAAAAUGGAAAUGGUAGAAGUACUACUAUUGAAGUUUCCUCUGAAUUUUAUAUUUUAUAGUAUGUUACAAAUUCAAAUUUGAAUCACAUGAAUGGUCCAUUAAUGUAGAGAGAGAAAGAGAACGAUUGUUAAGGAUAGUGGAGAGGUGUAGGGUAUUUUUGGAAUAAAGAAAAUAGUGGGGAGGUAUAAAAUAUUUUUGAAAUAAAUUAAAUUAAUUGGGAGAUACAGGUCCCACUUGGAGAGGUGUAGGGAGCAACACCCAUACAAUUUUUUUGAACCCAACCCAGUCUGAACUCGUGAUGGGCCGGGUUGGUCCGUAGAUUGUGACCCAUUUUGAUAACUCUAAUUUUUAUCAUGAUUAUUUCUUUUACAAUAAAUUGGUAAUUAAGAGAAGAAAAUAUUCAUAAAUUGGCAUUGAUCUUGAGAAAAUAGACAUAUAACAAAUUUUAAAAUAGUUUUUAAUGUCUUUGUAGACACAUGAAAGAAGAAAGUAAUUGGAUUAUUAAUUUAGAGAAAAAGUAUCUCAAGAUUAAAGAACAUCAUUAAGCUUAAGAAAAAAUCAAUUUUAAAGCUGAAACUUACUAUGUACAAAAUGGUGUUUGGUGCAUGUCCACUACCAUCAAGCGUAAAGAGUAUCUAAUUGUUAUGUUAUUUACAUUUUAUUGUAAGCACAAAAUAAUCCUUAUAUACUUGUUAAUUUAUCUAUUUUAUAUAAAUAAAAUUUGGAUAAACCCUAACUUAGUAUAUAGUUCUUUAUACAGUUCUUUGAGAUUUCGGAUAAGAGGAGAUAUUGUAGUCAUUUGUAUGGUUCACUCACAUUUUAUUGAAUUGUAAAUCAUUCCUUAAUUAUAGUUAUGAACCGUCUAGAGAGUCUCGUACUUUUGAAUUAGUGAAUUGAAAAUAAUUUUUCUUCAUAGUGACAUGUAGAAAGAAAUCUAUAUGGAAUAACGUGAACUCAAACAAGCUCAAAUACAUUAGUAUAUAAAAUUUGAUUUUCAUGAUGGAUCAUGAGCAUGAUAAAACUUUUUCUAAUCUUUUGUGAAGAAGUUUGUUGAUGAAAAGUUUAUUAUUCUCUUAUUUUAUGUUGAUUAUUGGUCAGGACAUGAGUGAGAUUUAAAGUUUCAAAAGAAAAUUAAACAAAUAUUUUACAAUAAAUAAUUUGAGUCUAACAAAACAGAUCAUUGCCAUAAAAAUUAUUCAUGACACAAAAAAUGAAAAAAAAAAUCUAUGUCUUUUAUCACAAUUCUAUAAGUGAGAAAUGGAAUUUUAUAGUUAUUUAUAACGGGUAAUUUAAUGUAAGUUAUGAUGUGUGCAAGAGCUCACAUUGCUCAUGUUGUUGGAAUUGGUAAUCAUUUGCUUGUUAAGCUUAGAAAAGACCACUGACAACUUGUAAAGUGAUACUAAAAGCUUAAAGUAGUAAGCCUUUGAUGAAGGAUUACAUAUAUGUAUACAUGAUUGGUGAUAUGAAUUUCAAGAAGUCUAUUUCUAGUUUUGUAAUGACAGGAAGAGCAAUGUCAUGACAAUCCAAACUACAAAAGUAUAUUGCUUUGUCUUCUACAAAAGCAAUAUAUUAUUAUUAUAGAAUUUGGUAAAGAGUUAUUGUGAAUGCAAAAAUUCCUACAGAAGUUAAGACUACCAUAAGAAAAAUAAUUUUUGUAUUGUGAUAAUAAAAAUACAAGAAGAAGGAUGUUAGAAAAACUAAAGUCUAUAACAUUGAUGAUCUUGCUUCUAACGAAGGGAUUGUGAAGGAAAAUGAAGUAGAUUCAAGUUUGGAUGCAUCACGUGAAGGCAUCUUAAUUAAAGUUGGAUAAGAGAUGAAUGUGUUGGUAAAGGUGAUGUUAUUGUAUGGAUGAUUUGAGGUUCCUCCCAUUAUUGAUAAUGACGAAGGUUAUGGAGGAAAGGCCAUUAGUGAAAAUGAAGGUCAUGUGGAGGAGGGCGAUGAUUAUGUAGCAUUUAAUAUGAAAGAUUUUUUUAGAUAGUUUGUUUGUAUUAAGCAUUUACUAUGCAUGAUCCUUUUAUGAAUUAUGAACCUAUUUUUAGUUGUGCUAUGUAUUGAAUCCUAUUACUUAAGAUUUAUUACGUAUGAGUUACUUUUAUCAUCUAUAUUAUGUUUAAUGAUACAUUUAUUUAUAAUAUAAUUUUUCAUAUACUGGUAACUUUCACGAGUCGAGUUAUGAUUUUUAUUUCCUUUUCUAUAGCUAUAUUUCACAUCAUUGGUCAUUACUGUGUAGUUGUAUCUAAUGUUAUUAUUGUUAAUGAAGAUGAUUAUAUUAACUCACGUGCUAAGAGUAUAAGUUAAUGACUUUGUUGCAUCAUUUAUGUUAGAUCAUACCAUGAUUACUUCACAUCUUAGACUAUUCUUGUAUAAAAUUGAGUUGUCUUGUAAGAUCUAGUAUGUCCCUUGCUAUUCGAGAUACAUGAGACGUUCCUUUGUAAUCUUUGGAUGAACCAGAAAGGGGUGAGUACAUGCAAACAUUUCGAUACUCAAGUCAGUCAAUGUGAUUUAGGUAACUCAAUUAAAGUGAAAAGAUUUCAAGAUACCUUUUACAUGAAACAAAUCACCUUUAUAUACCUGGUUGGGCUGACCCUUAUUAAUCAUGUUAUACUAUUUUAGGAAGGUUUAGAUUUUUCAAUAAAUACUAAUGAAUGUCUUAUCAUAACAAUAGGUAGGUUCAUUGUCAUACAGUCAAGGUUGACAUGAUACUGGUAAAUUUUGAACAAGUAUGAUCACUGCUCUCACAUAACUCUAUGGUCAUGGUUGAGAUGAUCUCAGUAUUAUACAAUACAUAAACUAUUUGAGAUUUUGAACAUGUGAAGAUGUGGAAUCUAAACAAGAAUGAUGACAAUGUUGAAAUUUGGCCAAAGAUUAAUACUAGUUGCAAGAUGCUUUCGAAGAAUGUUAGACACAUUUCUGAUAUAUACCUUGACUUAAUAUCUAUAUAAGUACUUGAUGAGAUGUUUAUCCUAAUUCUUUUGGUGGUGAUAAAUAGAAGUGCAUUAAAGGGACAUUUGUGGUAGCAAAAAAAGAGAAGUGAAAUGAAUGGCUUGGUCACUUGAGUGAACAUGACCUUGCAACUUUUGUAAAUCAAGGGUUGCAAUUUGUUAGAGAAACACCUCUUAAAACUUAUUUUGAUAGUCUUGUGGGUAUGGAAUAUAGAGUUCCUUUUUGUACUUAUCCUAUGUAGAAGACCACAUAUCUUUGAUUUAAUUCAUGUUUAUACAACAUAUGCCAUCUUAUUUUGUCUUUUUUUUUAUUGAUGAUUAUUCUAGAAAUGUCUGAGCUUUUGUUUUGAAAUUCAAAAGCUAUAAGUACUUGAUGUGUUCAAACAUUUACAUGCAAGUGUCAAAGGAGUGUUAAAGCACAAAGCAAUGAUGAAUACAAGGUUCUUGUAAACAAUAUUACAAGGACCAUGACAUCAAACUUGAGAGAACAAUUUCAAAAACACCUCAAAGCAGUGUGGUUGUGGAGAGAAUGACUAGCACAAUUAAUGAAAGAAUUAGAUGCUUGAUGAAAAAUUGCCUAAAGUUUUCUAGGACGAGAUAUUGAAAAUUGCAAUGGAGUUGAUUUACCUUUCCGUUAUUCAUUCAUCUUGAUGGUGAUAUCCUUGAGAAAGUGUGGAAAAGAAACUAUGUUUUUCAUAGUCAUUAAAGGGUAUUCGACUUCAAAGAAUUUGUUCACUUUCUUACAGAUAAAAAUAUCUAAACUUGAUGAAAAGUCUAUAUGGUGGUAUCAAAACUAAUGAUUCAUCUUGUAGCUAACUCAUAAAAGUUUGUGGGUGAAAAUUCCUAGAUUGUGGAUUCCUUGUAUCAAAACACCCAAUCAAAUUCAUAAUUAUAGUAAAUCUAAUUUUUUCACCAACUAAUGAUAAAGAUAAAUUAUGCUAACAUUGAAGCAAGUCCUUGAAAAAUGAUAAAUACUUAAUAAUGUCAACUUGUAAAGAUUAGGCGUCCAUUUGCUAAUAGUUUCAAAGCAAAAUUAACAUCAUACAGUAAUUACUCUAAGCAGAAUGGAUGUUUAUUGCAUAGACCAUUAAAACAAGAUUCAAUAUCCAAGUGAAAAUUGAAAAUUCAGAAGUAAAGCUUAGAGAAUAAGAAUGUAUUUAUCCAAUUUUACUCACGAACAACACUAAUCACUUGUUUUCCGACAUUGCGACCACUGAAGAGGCCAACCAAGGCUGCAGGGCCAUUCUCAAGACCCUCAGCAAUGUCUUCCACAUACACAACCUUCCCUUCUCUAAUAAGAGGAAGGACAAACUCUAAGAAUUUGGGAUAUAAAUGGUAGAAAUCAGUUACAAGAAAACCUUCCAUUUUAAUCCUCUUAAAUAUGAGAUGUGCCAAAUUUGUUACACCUUCUGGUUGAGCAAGAUUGUACUGUGAGAUCAUUCCACAAACAGGUAUUCGACUAUGGAGUCUCAUAUUUGGGAGUACUGCAUCAAGUGUCUUCCCCCCAACAUUCUCAAAGUAAAUAUCAAUGCCUUCUGGAAAGUAUCUGAU
rnacentral:lncRNA from 1 species